GUCCCACACAGCUUUGUCCCCAAGGUGUCCAUCCAUGUGCCCUACGUGUCCCAUGUCAUCCUGUCCCCAGGAUGCCAUCCAUGUGUCCCUGUGUCCCUGUCCCCAAGAUGUCCUUUUAUGGGUCCCACACUACCUUGUCCCCAAGGUGUCUGUGUGUCCCCGUCCCCAAGAUGCCCAUAGGUGUCCACACAGCUUUGUCCCCAGGAUGCCAUCCAGUGUCCCCCGUGUCCCUGUCCCCACGCUGUCCUUUUAUGGGUCCCAUGUGCUUUUGUCCCCAACAUGUCCGUGUGUCAGGAUGUCCGUCCGUGUGUCCCACACAGCUUUGUCCCCAAGCUGUCCAUCCCAGUACCCACAUGGUGGCCCCACGGUGCCCACGCCCAGGUAAUCAGACACAAAACCCCCCAAAACCCCCACAAACCCAUCAUCUCUGAGAAAACCUCUUUAAAUACAGCAGCACAGAAAAGGGCCGUGGGGGCAGCGGCGUCAGCACUGCGCCGCGUCCUCAAAGCUGGGGUUGGCGAAGGCUGCGCCCCACACCGCGCCGGCCUUGGUGCCCUCCGUGCCACCGGGUUUGGUGUCACCAACGUCAACUGUGGUGCCCUCUGUGCCAAACCUGGUGCCCCAGAUCCCAGUGCCACCCCAUGUGCCACCCCACACAUCCCUGGUCCGCACAUCACCUCCUGUGCCCCAGAUCCCAGUGCCACCCACUGUGCCCCAAACCCCUGUUGCCACCCCAUGUGCCACCCCACACGUCCCAGGUCCCCAUGUCACCUCCUGUGCCCCAAACCCCUGUGCCACCCCAUGCGCCCCAGAUCCCUGUGCCGCCCCACACAUCCCAGAUCCCCACGUCACCUCCUGGUGCUCCAAAUCCCAGUGCCACCCACUGUGCCCCAAACCCCAUGUGCCACCCCACACGUCCCAGGUCCCCAUGCCACCUCCUGGUGCCCCAAAUCCCUGCACCACCCCAUGUGGCAACCAGUGCGUCCCAGAUCCCAGUGCCACCCCAUGUGCCACCCCGCAAGUCCCAGAUCCCCACGUCACCCCCUGUGCCCCAAAUCCCUGUGCCACCCCAUGUGCCCGUGUCCAGGUCCCCAUGUGCCCCAAACCCCUGUGCCGCCCCACACAUCCCUGGUCCCCAUGUCGCCUCCUGGUGCCCCAGAUCCCAGUGCCACCCCAUGUGCCACCCCACACGUCCCAGGUCCCCACGUCACCUCCUGGUGCCCCAGAUCCCUGUGCCACCCCAUGUGCCCGUGUCCAGGUCCUCCCAUUCCCAUGUGCCACCCCACACGUCCCAGGUCCCCACGUCACCUCCUGUGCCCCAAACCCCUGUGCCCAUGUCUGUGGGUCCCAGGUCCCCACAUGCCUCGUUCCCCUGUGCCACCCCACACGUCCCAGGUCCCCACAUCACCUCCUGGUGCCGCAAAUCCCAGUGCCACCCCAUGUGCCACCCCACACAUCCCAGGUCCCCACGUCACCUCCUGUGCCCCAAACCCCUGUGCCACCCCCUGUGCUCAUGUCUGUGGGUCCCAGGUCCCCACAUGCCCCGUUCCCCUGUGCCACCCCACAAGUCCCAGGUCCCCACGUCACCUCCUGUGCCCCAAACCCCAGUGCCACCCCAUGUGCCACCCCACACAUCCCUGGUCCCCACAUCGCCUCCUGGUGCCCCAAAUCCCAGCGCCACCCCAUGUGCCCCAUUCCCCUGUGCCACCCCACACGUCCCAGGUCCCCACGUCACCCCAUGUGCCCCAAAUCCCAGCGCCACCCCCCGUCCCACAUCCCAGUGCCAACCCGUGUGUUUCCCCACAUCACCCCAUACACCCCAUAUCCCCGUGUGCCCCACAUCUCAGUGCCACCCCACGUGCCCCACAUUACCCCACAUCACCCCAUAUACUCCAUAUUCCCAUGUCACCCCAUGUGCCCCACACCACCCCAUCACCCC
ensembl:lncRNA